rnacentral:rRNA from 1 species
GUGCCAGCAGCCGCGGUAAUACGGAGGAUGCAAGCGUUAUCCGGAAUGAUUGGGCGUAAAGCGUCCGCAGGUGGCGGUGUAAGUCUGCUGUUAAAGAGUGAGGCUCAACCUCAUAAAAGCAGUGGAAACUACACAGCUAGAGUGCGGUAGGGGCAGAGGGAAUUCCUGGUGUAGCGGUGAAAUGCGUAGAGAUCAGGAAGAACACCGGUGGCGAAAGCGCUCUGCUAGGCCGCAACUGACACUGAGGGACGAAAGCUAGGGGAGCGAAUGGGAUUAGAUACCCCCGUAGUCC